ACUCAAUAGAUACCCCGGUAGUCCUGGCCGUAAACGAUGAACACUAGUAGGAAGAAACCUAGUUUUUCCUCCGGAGCUAAAAAGUGUUAAAGUGUUCCGCCUGGGGAGUAUGGUCGCAAGGCUGAAACUCAAAGAAAUUGACGGGGGCUCACACAAGCGGUGGAGCAUGUGGCUUAAUUCGAGGCAACGCGAAGAACCUUAUCCUAGACUUGACAUGGUCGGAUUAGUUCCGUGAAAGCGGAAUGACGCCUCGGGUGGAACGGAUCACAGGUGCUGCAUGGCUGUCGUCAGCUCGUGUCGUGAGAUGUCGGGUUAA
rnacentral:rRNA from 1 species